rnacentral:rRNA from 1 species
CUCAGUUCGGAUCGAAGUCUGCAACCCGACUUCGUGAAGCUGGAUUCGCUAGUAAUCGCGCAUCAGCCAUGGCGCGGUGAAUACGUUCCCGGGCCUUGUACACACCGCCCGUCAAGCCAUGAAAGCCGGGGGUACCUGAAGUACGUAACCGCAAGGAGCGUCCUAGGGUAAAACUGGUAGUUGGGGCUAAGUCGUAACAAGGUACC